rnacentral:rRNA from 1 species
AUACCAGCACCCCGAGUGGUCGGGACGAUUAUUGGGCCUAAAGCAUCCGUAGCCGGUUCUACAAGUCUUCCGUUAAAUCCACCUGCUUAACAGAUGGGCUGCGGAGGAUACUAUGGAGCUAGGAGGCGGGAGAGGCGAGCGGUACUUAGUGGGUAGGGGGAAAAUCCGUAGAUCCAUUGAAGACCACCAGUGGCGAAGGCGGCUUGCCAGAACGCACUCGACGGUGAGGGAUGAAAGCUGGGGGAGCAAACCGGAUUAGAUACCCGGGUAGUCCCAGCUGUAAACGAUGCAGACUCGGUGAUGAAUAGGCUUCGUGCCUAUUCAGUGCCGCAGGGAAGACGUUAAGUCUGCCGCCUGGGGAGUACGGUCGCAAGACUGAAACUCAAAUGAAUUGGCGGGG